GCGAGCCCGGCCGUGGGCAGCGCUGGCCUUCGGCCGCUCGGCUCGUGUGCUGCGGGAGAGCCGCGCUUUGAGGUGGGGUUUGGCAGGACGGGCGGCCGUGCUGCUUUACUCCUCCCAUCAUCUCGCAGCGAUGCCGGCCACGGACUCCUCCGAACUGAGCAAAGCGGAGGUGCCGCUCCCGCUGGGCACCCUGACGAAAGGUGGUGCUACGGACAGCAGCGAGAGUGAUGUGGAGUGGGAAGGUGAACGGCGUGGCUGGGUCUCUCCAAGCGGUGUUCCUGCUGUGGGGAAGACGUGAGACUACUGUAUUUGCCGGCCGAGGUGAUGUGAGGGUUGUCAGCCCCUGCUUUGCCACGAGUACCUUUCCAGGCUUCCACACUGACCCUUACACAGAGCAGGUUACCUUCAUCUAACAUGUUAUAAAAUACAAUAAUUUAAUAAUUCAAGACCUGUCAUGGCAAAAAUUGUUAAACAUUUUGAAAUAUUUUAUGCUUUCAUAGUUCAGUAAGUAGCAGUCUAAAUUAAGUUUCUAAAUAUAGUAAUUAAAAAAAGGAAGAGUGUGGGGAUUUAUCCAGUAGCCUUAACAAAGUGCCAUUUUUAACCUUCAAGUACAUACAAAUUAGUUUUCUUCUGAACAUCACAUUCUGCUGAGAACAUUCUUGCUGUAAAAUCACCUCAGUUGGUACAAGUUGCCCAAGGGGCUGGGCAGAGCCUGGGGAUACUCGUGUCCCUGGGGACAAGGUGUUUCCGUGGGCAGGGUCCUGGGGGACAGAGGGCUGGCAGCGGUGCCAGGCUGUGCGGGCACGGCUGCCUCGCCUGGCUGCCGGCCUUCCCGCUUCCCAGGCGCGAAGGCGGCAACUGCUGGAAGCAGGAGCUGGCACGUUAGGAGUGAUGGAACUCAAGGAAACAAAUACUGGGGGAGAGCCGUGAGACAGAGUGAUUUUUAAGGCUGACAUGGUUCUUUGUUGCAAUUCGGGGCAGCUUUUGUACAGUUGGAGCAUCUGGUUGUUAACUCCUCACUUGGUCCUCUUACUCCUUGGCUUAAUCCCAGACGUGAAGCUGGCUGUGCUCUCCUGGGGACGAGGGGACAACCUGUUAGAAGCAGACGUGGUUCUGAUUCCCUUGGAAGAAGCACAAAAGGAGAUGUUCUGUUCUUUGAAAAUAACUGGAGCCACUGGCAAGAAGCAGCGACACUGCAUCGAACAAGGGAACCACUUCCAGGUUAUCAAAACAUGCUGUUGAACUGAAUUUUGCAGCUGCAUUUUCCAAUGUACCAUGGGAUGCAUCAAAUCCAAGGCUGCCUUCCAAGGUUCCAACGCUGUCCAGGAUGAGAGGAUCGGGGGAGGCGGCGAGGGCUGCGCUGGGGAGAAGUCGUCGCUGCUGGCGGUGCAGGCGGAGGAGAAGGGCCCCUCGAGCACCAUCGUGCUGGACUACGCGCAGCGGCUGUCGCGCGAGAUCCUGGAGCAGGCGGUCAAGCAGUGGGCGGUGACCGAGAGCAAGUACAGCGACAUCCCCUUCAUCGAGAGCGACGUGCCCUGAGCUCUCCGGGGCCUGAGUGUGCUCUGUGCGUGUGCCAGUGCAGAGGAAGCACCCCCAGCUGCCCUCUGAGCAUCACUGUGGGGAGGGGUCUGCAGGGAGAGCCUGAGAAAAGUUGCCCUGUAGCGUAGGGUGCUAACAAACUGAUUGGAUCGCAGUAGAACCCGUUCAUCGAGUGUCAUUUGUUGUCAGCCAUGCAUUGAGUAUACUCUGUCUUUGUAUGUGUUGGAUGUGACCAGAAAUAAGCGUUAAAAGGAUGAGAAGACUGUGGCUGCCCUGCACCUCUACAAACACUGCCACAGAGGACAAAACGUGGAUCAUUUCUAUGUUCUGCAUAAAAGAUCAGUGAUCUGUCUGUAGGUGGGAUGAACUCUCUGUGCUUGGUGAAUUUGUGUGUGUUUCGCUGAAAUUAAAUCAAGGUCUGCAUGUAGCAAAGGUUACUGCCAUCAUAAAUUUUACUUUUGAUUCUGUGACCUAACGGAAUCUGUAAGAUCACAAAAUGAAGGUGAUAGGAGGCACUUUGUAAACCCCAGUAGUAUUCAGGGAGCCAUUUGGAUGAUGAUGCUAUUCACCUUCCAUUGAAGUGAACCAGGGAGAAACAUGCCAGUGUUGAUAAGCAGUGCAUUAUCAUUAACAGAUGCUUCUGUAAAUGCAUGAAAGCUUUUCUCUAAAAGCCUGCAGUAAGAUGGGUUAAUGACAUCUGGUCACUGCAUUCAGACCAAAGCUGUUUGGUUUUUUGAUUUUGUUUGGGGAUUUUUUGUUAGGGUGCCAGUUUGGGAGGAUUUGGUUUUGUUGUUUUACCAGAGAGAUGUGCAAAAACUACUGAUGGUAGCUAGUGAAAAGAACCUUCAAAG
rnacentral:lncRNA from 1 species